UACGUAGGGUGCGAGCGUUGUCCGGAAUUACUGGGCGUAAAGAGCUCGUAGGUGGUUUGUCGCGUUGUCCGUGAAAACUCACAACUCAAUUGUGGGCGUGCGGCGAUACGGGCAGACUGGAGUACUGCAGGGGAGACUGGAAUUCCUGGUGUAGCGGUGGAAUGCGCAGAUAUCAGGAGGAACACCGGUGGCGAAGGCGGGUCUCUGGGCAGUAACUGACGCUGAGGAGCGAAAGUGUGGGGAGCGAACAGG
rnacentral:rRNA from 1 species